CAAAAAAAAAAUCGAAAAAUCAAAACCGCAGCUGACGAUCAUAGCUCAACAAUUGUAAUUUUUGAAAUUUUUUUUUUGUAUCAGUUUAGCCGUGGCCAUUGAUAAAAUGCCGCCAAAAAUGCUCAGCAUGAAUGAAAUUAUCAGCAGUGAGUGAAACGUCCAGCGAUGAAGUUUUAAACCCAUCCAUGGAGAGUUGAAAACCUUGCACCAGAUGAAACGCCAUUUUCAGAUCUUCUUCUGUGGCAUUUGCUCAGCAAACAAAGGUCAAGGAGGCAUCACGAAGGAGGAUUUCGGAGAGGUUUUUAACAGAAAUUGAAAUGCAAAGGGGGGGAUUAUCAUCAAGAGGGAUGAGGUAUGGGAUACAGGUAUGAAGGGCAUAAGUAAGUGAAAUUAUAUCAACUAUAAUGUAUGCGAUAAUAAAGCCAGAAGGUUGAAUUCCAGCACCGUACUGGAGUAGAAAGGUAAAUAUCAAAUCAAUGUUAGUGUUGCCAAACUGUUUGACAAAAUGCUUCCUUGUAGUGUAUUACUUGUAAAGUUAAAUUUAACAAAACUUCAUAUGGGAGAGAUUAAUUGUAGUAGUUGAAAUGUGUCGAGGGAGUGUGGAUAGCUGUGGGAAUAAGAUUUACUCUUUUCAAUUUGUAUAUAUGCAAAUGAAAAAUGAAGACAAAUGGAUGUCGACAAAGUGUUUGAUAAAAUGUCUGGUGAACUGCGUGUUGAGGAGGGGUUCUUAUGAAUACAAAAUAUUUCAUUUGAGCUAAUUUUGCACCCUCAGAUCAAUACUUGUGCUGGAAGUUAAAAUUAUCAGCUACGGGUAAAAACAGGCUUAGAAAAGCAUUUUUACAUAGGGAUUAAAGGCCUUAAGGUGAAUGUUUGUAAAAAAUUUGGGAGUAAUGUUUCAGUUGAAUAUUAAGAACAAAAUAGAGGAGAUUUUAAAGA